AGUGGCGGACGGGUGAGUAACGCGUAAGAAUCUAACUUCAGGACGGGGACAACAGUGGGAAACGACUGCUAAUACCCGAUGUGCCGCAAGGUGAAACCUAAUUGGCCUGGAGAAGAGCUUGUGUCUGAUUAGCUAGUUGGUGGGGUAAAGGCCUACCAAGGCGACGAUCAGUAGCUGGUCUGAGAGGAUGAGCAGCCACACUGGGACUGUGACACGGCCCAGACUCCUACGGGAGGCAGCAGUGGGGAAUUUUCCGCAAUGGGCGAAAGCCUGACGGAGCAACGCCGCGUGAGGGAGGAAGGUCUUUGGAUUGUAAACCUCUUUUCUCAAGGAAGAAGUUCUGACGGUACUUGAGGAAUCAGCCUCGGCUAACUCCGUGCCAGCAGCCGCGGUAAUACGGGGGAGGCAAGCGUUAUCCGGAAUUAUUGGGCGUAAAGCGUCCGCAGGUGGUCAGCCAAGUCUGCCGUCAAAUCAGGUUGCUUAACGACCUAAAGGCGGUGGAAACUGGCAGACUAGAGAGCAGUAGGGGUAGCAGGAAUUCCCAGUGUAGCGGUGAAAUGCGUAGAGAUUGGGAAGAACAUCGGUGGCGAAAGCGUGCUACUGGGCUGUAUCUGACACUCAGGGACGAAAGCUAGGGGAGCGAAAGGGAUUAGAUACCCCUGUAGUCCUAGCCGUAAACGAUGGAUACUAGGCGUGGCUU
rnacentral:rRNA from 1 species